rnacentral:pre_miRNA from 1 species
AUGGAGAGGAAGGGAAAGUGGUCUUCACGUCAGGGCCACGAUGGUUUAUUUACCAGGUAUCAAUAAACCAUAGUGGCACAGGCGAGAAGAGCACCUUCGCUUUCGUUUCGAU